UGGGGAAUAUUGCACAAUGGGCGCAAGCCUGAUGCAGCCAUGCCGCGUGUAUGAAGAAGGCCUUCGGGUUGUAAAGUACUUUCAGCGGGGAGGAAGGCGAUAAGGUUAAUAACCUUGUCGAUUGACGUUACCCGCAGAAGAAGCACCGGCUAACUCCGUGCCAGCAGCCGCGGUAAUACGGAGGGUGCAAGCGUUAAUCGGAAUUACUGGGCGUAAAGCGCACGCAGGCGGUCUGUCAAGUCUGAUGUGAAAUCCCGGGCUCAACCUGGGAACUGCAUUCGAAACUGGCAGGCUAGAGUCUUGUAGAGGGGGGUAGAAUUCCAGGUGUAGCGGUGAAAUGCGUAGAGAUCUGGAGGAAUACCGGUGGCGAAGGCGGCCCCCUGGACAAAGACUGACGCUCAGGUGCGAAAGCGUGGGGAGCAAACA
rnacentral:rRNA from 1 species